GACGAACGCUGGCGACGUGCUUAACACAUGCAAGUCGAACGGAAAGGCCCUGCUUUUGUGGGGUGCUCGAGUGGCGAACGGGUGAGUAACACGUGAGUAACCUGCCCUUGACUUUGGGAUAACUUCAGGAAACUGGGGCUAAUACCGGAUAGGAGCUCCUGCUGCAUGGUGGGGGUUGGAAAGUUUCGGCGGUUGGGGAUGGACUCGCGGCUUAUCAGCUUGUUGGUGGGGUAGUGGCUUACCAAGGCUUUGACGGGUAGCCGGCCUGAGAGGGUGACCGGCCACAUUGGGACUGAGAUACGGCCCAGACUCCUACGGGAGGCAGCAGUGGGGAAUAUUGCACAAUGGGCGGAAGCCUGAUGCAGCAACGCCGCGUGCGGGAUGACGGCCUUCGGGUUGUAAACCGCUUUCGCCUGUGACGAAGCGUGGGUGACGGUAAUGGGUAAAGAAGCACCGGCUAACUACGUG
rnacentral:rRNA from 1 species